AGAUUGAACGCCGGCGGCAGGCCUAACACAUGCAAGUCGAGCGGUAGAGAGGUGCUUGCAUCUCUUGAGAGCGGCGGACGGGUGAGUAAUGCCUAGGAAUCUGCCCAGUGGUGGGGGAUAACGUUCGGAAACGGACGCUAAUACCGCGUACGUCCUACGGGAGAAAGCGGGGGACCUUCGGGCCUCGCGCCAUUAGAUGAGCCUAGGUCGGAUUAGCUAGUUGGUGAGGUAAUGGCUCACCAAGGCGACGAUCCGUAACUGGUCUGAGAGGAUGAUCAGUCACACUGGAACUGAGACACGGUCCAGACUCCUACGGGAGCAGCAGUGGGGAAUAUUGGACAAUGGGA
rnacentral:rRNA from 1 species